AUUGAACGCUGGCGGUAGGCCUAACACAUGCAAGUCGAGCGAGCGGCGGACGGGUGAGUAAUGUAAGGGGACUGCCCGAUAGAGGGGGGUAACUACUGGAAACGGUGGCUAAUACCGCAUACUAACGGAUAACCCAUAUGGGAUUAGCUAGUAGGUGGGGUAAAGGCUCACCUAGGCGACGAGCUCUAGCUGGUCUGAGAGGAUGAUCAGCCACACGGGGACUGAGACGCGGCCCGGACUCCUGCGGGGGCAGCAGUGGAGACUAUUGCACAAUGGGCGCAAGCCUGAAGCAGCCAUACAGCGUGUAUGAAGGAGGCCUUAGGGUUGUAAAGUACUUUCAGCGGGGAGGCGUUACCCGCAGAAGGGGCGCCGGCUAGCUCCGAGCCAGCAGCCGCGGUAAUAC
rnacentral:rRNA from 1 species